GGUGAACGCUGGCGGCGUGCUUAAGACAUGCAAGUCGAACGCAGUCUUCGGACUGAGUGGCGCACGGGUGAGUAACACGUAACUGACCUACCCCCAAGUCGCGAAUAACCAGCCGAAAGGAUGGCUAAUACGUGAUGUGAUGAUCCGCUGUGGCGGAUCAUUAAAGACUUGAUCGCUUGGGGAUGGGGUGGCGUUCCAUCAGCUAGUUGGUAAGGUAAAGGCUUACCAAGGCAACGACGGAUAGCCGGCCUGCGAGGGUGGCCGGCCACAGGGGCACUGAGACACGGGUCCCACUCCUACGGGAGGCAGCAGUUAGGAAUCUUCCACAAUGGGCGCAAGCCUGAUGGAGCGACGCCACGUGAGGGAUGAAGGUUCUCGGAUCGUAAACCUCUGAACCAACGACGAAAGACCCGACAAGGGAGAUGACGGUAGUUGGGUAAUAGCACCGGCUAACUCCGUGCCAGCCGCCGCCGUAAGAC
rnacentral:rRNA from 1 species